GACCGACAUCAGCGAUUCGUUUUGCGAACCGUGGCCCACCGCGAGAUAGGAACACAUCCCCAGCUCGCGCAUCUGCUGUUCGCCAAUCACCCGGGUAAUCACGUUUUUACUGUAGCUGUCGGCCAACUGGCGCGCCUGUGAAGCGAGGUAGGCGGCGUUACAGAUGUUUGGCGGCAUGUUGCCCAGAUCUUUCGC
rnacentral:antisense_RNA from 1 species